CUGUAGCUUCUAAAAUAUAGACAGGAUCUACGUAUAAUGCCCACAACUAUCAACCAUGAUUUGUGAGUUAGCAAGCAGAUUCUCCAUCCUAAUGGCCCACUAAAUUAGGACGUAAUGGCAUACCAGAUUCAGAUAUAAUAGUCUGUGGCUCCAUCUCUAUAUAAAGAGAUAACAAGAGGGCCCACAGGUAUGAAACAAAAAAGAAAACAGUGCCUGCACUCUCUCACUCUCCCAUUUCUUUUUUCUUCUCCUAUUCUCAAGGUCUAACUAAAUUAAGAAUCGGAGGGUCCUCCAUCGAAACAUCUCCAGUGAGUAUGGACUUUUAUUGUAGGUUCUUGGAAGACAAGCACUCUUAAACUAAAUCCAAGUUCCAUGUCUGCAGGAGAUCGACGUCAAUUCGAAGGCUUGCAGCAAUAAAUUGGAACUAGCUAGAGGAAAGGCCUAUCGCCUAUUUUUAGAAAGAAAGGAAGAAAUGGUGAGAAUGCGAAUGCAGAACACUCCACUACUUCCUGCCACCGGUCAUCCUGAUGGAGUUAGCCAAAUGUAAAGAUCCUAGUCCCAUUCAACCCAACCCGCCCUAGCGGCAGACCCGCAGCAGUUCGAUAUCCUAAUCCAAGAGGUCCACGCACAAGCCACUGUCAUGCAACAGCUCUAGCAAGCCGUGGAGAAGCAACACCAGUGGGAGUUAGCUCGUCAAGUUGCUCCAUCGCAGC
rnacentral:lncRNA from 1 species